rnacentral:rRNA from 1 species
CACGUAGGGCGCAAGCGUUGUCCGGAAUUAUUGGGCGUAAAGAGCGUGUAGGCGGCCGUACAGGUCAGCUGUGAAAACUCGAGGCUCAACCUCGAGACGUCGGUUGAAACCGUACGGCUAGAGUCCGGAAGAGGAGACUGGAAUUCCUGGUGUAGCGGUGAAAUGCGCAGAUAUCAGGAGGAACACCGGUGGCGAAGGCGGGUCUCUGGGCCGAUACUGACGCUGAGGAGCGAAAGCGUGGGGAGCGAACAGG